GUUGUACAUGUCAGUGAGUGAGUGUGUGUGCGCGCGCACGUGUGUGUGUGUGUGCGCUUAGCACAGGUGCUAUCUAUAGUCCCUGCAUACUGAAAACGGAGAGAAAUAAAAAAUGUUAUGUGAAAGGGCCUCAGAUUUAACUGUGAUAAUGUAAUUGUGAUUUCUCUCUUGCUUGCUCAUAUUUAUUGAAAUUAAUAAAUGCAAACGCAGAAACAGGUGUCGUGGUUCAUUUUGUUUGAGAUGUGGGAGGGUUUGGGGACUCAAUGGUAGGUGCAUCUGUAUUGUUUCUGUCUGUCUCUCUUGUCGCAGUCAUAGACGUCGAAUCCACAUGGAAGAGAAAUAUUCCGAUGUUUAUGGUUUACGUUUGGUUUUGCGAUUCUCAUAUUUUGUGUGUGAUCGGCUCUGGAAUAGGUUCUGGCAUCUUUUAGGUUGUGCAUAUUGCUGUCAGCUGAAAGUUGAGAAAUAUAUGUUUGCAUCUUAAGUGAAUCAGAUAUAUUGCGGCUUUCAGUGUCUCAUAUGUGCAAAGUAACAAAAGAUGCAAAACUUCCUAUUCCAGGACCAAAUAUUAUUCCAUUCUAAAUAGACUGAAAUAGUCCUUGAAAUAUCGAUAUGUGUCAGUCACCGUGAGUCUAUAAUGAUUGGCUUUAAUGAUGUGAUUUAUUGAUUGAUUGAUUGAUUGAUUGAAAUUUGGUUGAUUUACAUAAUGAUUUUGUACUUUGGGAGUUAAAGGAAUAGUUUACCCUAAAACUAAAUGUUAUCAUUUACUCACCCUUGUAUCAUUCCAAACUUGUUUGACUUUCUUUACAACCGUUUAGCCAUAUGGUGAUAGUUGUAUGGAAAAAGCAUUCUGCAAAGCAUUUCCACAUAUCAGUUUGGAAUGAUGUGGCUGAGUAAAUGAUGGCAAAAUGUUCAUUUUCAGGUGAACUAACCCUUUAAUUACUUUAAUGUUCAGCUAACAAGUGAUCUUGUCGUUCGUUUGAAGGGUUAUGCUAAAACAGUACCACUACAUUCAGCUCUGUCAGCCCAUCCGUGAUAUUGGUUGGGUGCAGACACUAAAGCAACAUCUGUGGCGCUGUGCGAUGCCCGACCCAAGAGAAUCUGAGUCUGGCCUCGGACGAGUCAGCGAUUAUUAUUCCGCGGGUACCUCUGGAAGAGAACCACUGGUGGAACGAGCAGAACCACGUCGAGGAGUAGUGCGCUUCGCUCCGGAUGUCAAGUACUGAUACAAGCACACGAGAAAGAGCAAGGCAGCUAUAGACUGAGCAAUGAAGUAGGCUAAAUGAGAAAUAUUUAAGAAAAUAUUUUUAGCAGACAGAAAGAGAGAUGUGUUGAAUUAAAGUACUGUAUGUAUAUAGGAUGUUGUAUGUAAUAGGUUAAGAUUAAAUGACGAGCUUCCCAAUAAUAAAAAAAAACAAUAGAACAAAAAAGUAACCUAGCGCUUCCAGACUGUUUGCAACGAAUGAAAAUAGGUGCUAUAAAUGUAAUCUGUUUCAUGCUCUUUCUCAAAACAUACAGUAUUGCCAUGAUGAUCAUUUAGAGUAACAAAUAUGUCAUUAAGUGCUUCAUUAAAGUAUAACAUACUGUUCAAAAGACUAAUAAAUGUGAACUAAUUAGUGUUUAUCUGGUUGUUUUCGUGCCUUCAUUGCAAUAUUCAUUAAG
rnacentral:lncRNA from 1 species